ACUUUACAGCUGGCUGGAGAGUGAUAGAAAGGAAAAGCUCUCUCAUAUAUCGCGUUCAAAACAACUGGGAACUCAGAGAAAAAGAGUCCCAACUGGGAAAAAUCCUUUUGAACGGUCUCCCAAAUCGGAAACUUUUGUUGUUGUGGUUUUACAGUUCUCUUGAUAUCCUGAUGGGAAACAAAUACAUAGCGAAGUUAGUUUAACGGAUAACUUGUUCCGUCAUAAUGAGAGAGAAAAAUCUAAAGGAAAUAGGAGUCAAAGACGUCAUCCCUCUGGGGUCUCCUCAUCCUACACCCUCACCGGCCUCUCCUCCCUCCAGGAGACCGAAAUGAAACCCUCUCAGCCCCCCGGACACCUGUCCAACCCCAACACUUACCCCCUGCCCAAACGGGUGCUACCCUUGACCAGCCCCGAACUGGACAAAUUCAGGGCAAAGCCCGCUCCUGGCCUGCCUCCUCACCCUCCCCACCUGCCAGGGGUACACCACCGAGCCUCCGGGGUUGGAGAUGGGGGUGAAGCCAACGAUGGCCCGGCCAACUUUACAAACAUCCAAAUCAGGAAAAUCCAGCAUUCCCACAGCCCUGUGACCCCUAACCCCUAUAGGGGCAUGACCUUUAACACUAGGGGUGGUAUGGGAAGGGACAACCCACUGUCGCCCUCCUCCCUUCCCCCCAGCAGAAGGAGAGACUAUGGAGCGGUGCUGAGGGAAGACAUGAACAAGAAACUCAAGGUUGGAUCCAGUGAUGUUGGGAGCUCUAGACCUCCGUUCCCUGUUGCCCAGCCCCGCAGGCUCUCUGUGCCCCCAACUGUUACCUCCAGACCGGGGCAGAGCAGCCAGCCGCUACCUUCCCCUUACGUGGACCUCCGGAGCCCGGGGAGUAGCCCACCAGAGCGCAGGCACCACUUCUCCCAGAAGCUCUCACAGUCUCUCCGGUCUAUCUGCCAGUACAAAGUAGGAGGAGACGGGAAGGAGAGUACAAUGAUUCUUGGUGGUCCACUGUCACCCACCAUGUGCAUCCCUGUCAAUCCACAGCAGAGUCGUGGUUCCCUGGACCACAGAGGAACCACUCCCUCUAACAAGUGGUUCACUCCAGGAGGCACCAGAUCCCUGUCUCUGAAGAGACUCAGACAGCCAGACUUGGAGGAGAGAAGCGGAGGAAGAGGAGAGGACAUGGCUAAAAAGAGACUUCGUCCAGAGGACUAUAUCCCAGGCCCUAUCCGUACCGGUCACCCACCCGAUGGAACAGCCAGUUCUAAGAUGUCCACCAGCCCCAACCCAUCCUACCUGAAGAAAGUCUUCAUGAAGAACAAUCUGAGCUCAAGUCCUACUCUAAGGUUGAAGGAGAGUCUCAGCCCUAAGAAGACAGAGGAAGGGAUGGAGAGAGACAGGAGGACUGUCCCUACCUAUCCACUCUCCACACCCAAGCCUGCGAGGAAUCGCUGCACCGGCCAUGGACAGACGCCAUGCUGCAAUAGUGUGAAGGAUAACGGCAACCCUCAGGCUGGAUACAGGAGAAUGAAUCACCAAUCUGGCAACACUCAAUCUUUUUACAGUGUUAGAAAUCCUCAAAAAGGCAACCGCUACAGCCAAUCUGGCAACCCAGCCAACCUGCAAGUCACAAUCCUUAGUAGAGGAGAAUGCAGUAGAGAAAAAGAGACCAGAAAGCGAGAGAGUAGAGGAAGAGAACCGACAGGUCGUCCCGACGGGAGAACACCCAAACCCGACUCGAAAUCUCAGAGCUCGGACUCGAGCUGCCCUAGUUCUAGGCGCCAUCACGCGUUGGAAAAGAAGCGACAUGUCUCUCGCCCCCGGAGAACGUCUGCCUUGCCGGAUGACCUCAAUGACCUUUUCACCCCUGACCCCAUAACCUCUAGCCUGUCUAGAACAGCGAUUACCUUUUCCCCCAGUCCCCAGAGAGGAGACAGGUCACCCUCUGUACACAACAAGGUUCCUCUGUCUGUUGUGUUGGCUACUGUCAGUGAUGCUAGUAUGGGACCGGGGUCCCCCUAUGUAACAAGCCCUAGAGAAAUCCCCCCAAUAUCCCGUUCACACCGAAUCCCAUGUCCCAAGAUCUCUUCCUGUACGGACACUGCAAUGGACCCCUGUAAGCUACUCCUGGACCCCAAAAUCUACUCCUCCUUUGUAAGGCUGGAGUUGAGCAGGAAUGACUUGACCAAACUAGAGACUGGCUUGUACAGAGCCAUCACCAGCACUUUAUCUUCCUCAGGGAAACCCUCGUCCCCUAAGGAUGUCACCUCGGGACUGAAAACGAGAUCUCCUGGUAUUGCUUCAGCAGAGUUGGUGUCACCUAUGGAUGAGGAUGAAAAUGCCUACCUCAAGACUGAGUCCUCCAUUCUGAAAACUAUCCCCCUCUCAGCUUCUGCAAAGUCCUCAUCCUCAGACCAGAAGGUCCAUAAGAGUUUAUCGUUCCUUGAGGAAGGAGAACAAAGAAGCAACAAGAACAAUUCCUGUAAGAGUCUGGAGGAGGACCCUCUGGAUGUGGAGUUGAGCCUAGGCCUCGACCUGAGCCUGGGGCUAGAGUUGGCGCUAUCCCAGACCAGCAGCAGCAGUGACGAGGACCAGCUGCCGUCCCUGCAGCAGAUCCUGGACCGUAGCGCCUGGCCCCCAGACACCCCAGAAAAAGGAACCAUCCCUGCACCCAGCAUCCUCGUUGGGCUCCCACACCACAGCCAACCAACUUCUUCAUCUAAAGCGAAAUCUACCAGUUACAGGAACAACCUGGAUGAGAUGCUGAAGGAAAAGGAGGGCAUUCAAAGGUCUAAGGAGAUAGAAGCCAAGCUGCAACUCUCCUGUAAGGAGAAACUGCUGAGAUUGGCUGAGGAAGAGGAGGAGGAUAACAUUGAGGAGGCUAUCUCACAGCAGCAAAAGGAUUUCCUGCAGCGUUUUUCGGUGUUGUCUAGUGCCAUCCAGGACCUGCACCCCGGGGAAGCGGUGUUCAGCCUGGAUAACUUUGGCCGUCUCUUCAGCCAACACACACUGCAGCUGAGACGCUCUAACGUCACCCCGUGUGACACCACACAGAAAACAAUCCUCUGGUCCUCUCCAGAGCAGUUCAGGACCCAGGUCAGUUCCCAGCUGUUCCAGAGAGCCUACUGCUCCUCCCCCUGCCCUCCCCAGGUGACCCGCUGGCUCUUCCAGAUGAUGUCAGUCCACUCAGACAGGCUGACCUGUCAUCAGGUACUAAAGGCCCUUGGAGAUAUUGCCUGCUCUGCUGCUGAACACAUGGUGCUGAAUCAGAGUGAGAGGUUUGAGGUGUGGGUGCCCAGUAUUGGAGACAUGACCCUGGUCUUCAUGAACAUGGGGAUUCCCUUCGUCUUCCUUUUCCCCCUGGAGAACCUACAACCCCCCUUCACUGAGGGAGACCUGAUAGAGGGCCUCCAGAUCAGCACAGAGAGCCUGUCCAGCAAGAAGGAGCUCAGAACUUUCCCUGAACACAACUUUGACAAUGUCAUCAAGUACAUGGGUCAUUGUACGUCGUUGUGCCCGCGGGCCUACAGUGACCGAGACCUGCUGUUACUCCUGACGGUGGUGAGCAGAGUGGGCCUGGACACGCAGCUCGCCCUCCAGCCCACUGAGCACCUCCGCUCCCUACUGCACAACCUGGUCAACAGCAUAAGGGACAUGGACAUCAUGCUGCCCAGGAUCUGCAUGUCACUGAUUGCCCUGACUGAGGACCACCACAACCUUCGCUGGCUGGUUGAGCUCCUGCCAGACAGCAUGCGCGGCAAGCAACUCAGGAGACACCUCAGUGUGUCGGCCAUCUCCAAGCUGCUGAACAACAGAUGCACUUACAUUCCCUCCAACACAGAGUUCCAGCUGUCAGACCUGCGUCCAUAUCUCUCCCGAAUGCGGCCCUCCUCACUCCUCCGGGGGCUGGCCACCUCCCGCUACAGGAGGAUUCACCACACACACAGAGAGCGGGAGGAAGAGGACUGUGCCUCCCUGGACCAGCAGGCCUACUACCUAUGCUACAGCCUCCUGGCCUUGGCCAACGAAGCCACCAACUUUGAGUUCUUCCCUUCGGAGCAAAAGAACCAGUUGUUGUUGCUAAGUGCUGAGCUGGAGAAACACAUCAAAAGUGACAUCAGGGAAAGUGAGAAGAUGCUUUACAGGAGCAAGGUGAAGGACCUUGUGGCCAGGAUCUACACCAAGUGGCAGGUGCUGGUCCAGAGAACCAGGCCUCUCCAGGAUAAACUGUAUGACUUCUGGCAGCCUCCGCCUGAGGAUGCUGUGAGCAGCAGCCAGGAGAGCCAACACUCCCACAGGGGGAGAGAAGGGGAGGAAGAGAGAGAGGAGGACAGGGUCAUGGAGGUGGAAGGAGAAGAUGAGGGGGACGAGGUGGUGGACGGAGAGGGACAAGACAAGGUGGAGAGGAUUGUUGUGAAGAAUUUGGCAAUGGAGGAUGAGAACGAAGAGAAAGAGAAGACACCAGAAAAGCACUUUGUCAUGGAGGAAGCUGAGGAAGAAAAGGACAUUCAGGGAGAGGAGGAAGAUGCAUUCCUAAAGAUGGAUGAGAUGGUGGAGAGGUUGGAACUUACGCUAGAGGAUUCAGAUGAGGAAUCAAAUAUGGAAGACAUGGAGGCAGAACGGACAGAAGUAGAGACGGAGGAGAGGGUCACAGAAAAGAGGGAAGCAGCGGUGGAGGAGAGAAGGAAAGAACAGACGGAAGGGAGAGACUGAGGAGGCAAUUUACAGAAAGAUUCAGAGAUGGGGCAAAGAGGUGGAGAAUCAAGGGAAGCAGAGAGAAGCACAGAACAGAAGGAAGCGACUGGGAGAAGCACAGAAAGGAAAGAUGAAGAUUAUAUGAAGGAAGGAGGCAGAGAGAAACCAAAGAAUGCAAUGGAAGAUAACCUGGCUGCUUCCAUAUAGAAUUGUGCCUGUCUAGACCCACUGCCUGUCGUCUAGACUCUGGACCAAGAUUGCAUCCAAAAUGGCACCCCAGCCUAUUCCCUGUGUGUGUAGUGCACUACUUUUGGGCAUGAUAUAGGGAGCAGGGUGCCAUUUGGGACUCAACUGUCUACAUGUUCCACUUUCUCAGGCCCCGAAUACACAGACGGCAUCUCAGACCGAUAAGCAAAUGGGCAUAGUCUACACAUGGAACGCUUUACUGCAGUUGGAAUGAACGUAGGCCAAAUCCACAUUAUUCACUCAACAAUUUCACUGACCUACUGUAUAUCAUGGUGUGAUUUCAAUGUUUAGCUUCGUAUAACACUGACACAAUCCUAUAAAUAGUUUUGAAUGACAGUAUUUGUUUCUGAUUCUGAAUCAGCCAGUGACUAGACAAACCAGUAGACUGAGCGAUUUCAACUUUUAAUUCCAGUUAAAGAAGAAGAUUUCACAAUGUUGAAAAUAGGUUUAAAUAAAUAUAUUUUCAGGUGAACGGCAUGUUGAUGCAGAAAUGUUGGUGACAUAUUUUUGUUAGUAAGAUAAGUAUUUUCCAGUAAGCCUUGACUCCAUUCUAACCAUUUCUAUGACCUAUUUUAGUCGUAUUUAGCAUAUAUCUAAAGCGCUUUCGUUAACAGUGGAAAAAUUCAGGGGCCUGAAGUUGCCAGACGUCAAAUCAUGCACAUAAUAUAACAUUUAGCAGGCUUUUAUCCGAAGCGACCUCCAGUCAAGUGUGUCUACAUUUCAACUAUGGGUGGUCCCAGGAAUACACAAUAAUCUCGUUGCAACUGAGCCAUCCAGGACCACAUAAAAUCAUGACAGAGCCCUGACAGACAUCUUCCAUAAGAGCACUAAAGGAAACCAUCUUAAGUGAAGGGCCCACCUCGAGAGUCUCCAUAAUAGAAGAUGGUUUCUUAAUGUGUCACAUUGAGCUCCAUCAGCAUCUUCAGUAGUCCAACGCCUGUGUUCAAUACAAUAAUAGGUAAGAUGCCAGCUAACAAUGCAGCAGCCAAGGGAAUACAGAGAACCCACGCGGAAGGUAUCUGUUCUGUAACUCAAGGAAGUGUUCACUGAAUGUGCAAAAACAACCAAACAGCAGGACGUAAACAGGUUAUCGUCUAAUUUUCAGGCAGUGUAAUGUGAAUUUUCUGUCUUGUUUUGCUUAUGCUGUGUAAAAUAACUCCUGUCGUCCUGGGGGGGGGGGGUCUAAGCGAUCUAAGGUUUCCCACUAGUCUCCUGUAACAUUACUCUCCCAGGACAUGUUAGUGUGUUAGAGAGACAUUAGGGUCAAUGGAGAAUGAUGACCCUUCUCCGGCUUGGUAUUCCUUUAAGGAGUGCCUUUGGACAACACACAAUCAACUCUAACUUGAUCAGAACCAGUGGUUUUUGUUCUUGUAAGCAGAAAUUAACACUUCAUUCCCCUUGGUCGGCAGAGAUUCAACACUGCACUGCCUUGAAGGUCCUCUCAGGGACUAGAGGAGAUAAUAGUGUUAAGUUAAAGCAGGGGCCUGUUGCACAAAAGUAGAAUUAAGACAUCCGGGAUAAAUGACUCAGCUG